GGCCUGAUGGUCUAGUAGUAUGAUUCCUUGUUAGGGUACACAGAGUGCUGUUUCGAGGAGGUCCUGGGUUCAAUUCCCAGUUAGGCCC